rnacentral:rRNA from 1 species
UGGGGAAUUUUGGACAAUGGGGGAAACCCUGAUCCAGCCAUCCCGCGUGUGCGAUGAAGGCCUUCGGGUUGUAAAGCACUUUUGUCAGGAAAGAAACGUCAUGGGUUAAUACCCCGUGAAACUGACGGUACCUGCAGAAUAAGCACCGGCUAACUACGUGCCAGCAGCCGCGGUAAUACGUAGGGUGCAAGCGUUAAUCGGAAUUACUGGGCGUAAAGCGUGCGCAGGCGGUUCGGAAAGAAAGAUGUGAAAUCCCAGAGCUCAACUUUGGAACUGCAUUUUUAACUACCGGGCUAGAGUGUGUCAGAGGGAGGUGGAAUUCCGCGUGUAGCAGUGAAAUGCGUAGAUAUGCGGAGGAACACCGAUGGCGAAGGCAGCCUCCUGGGAUAAAACUGACGCUCAUGCACGAAAGCGUGGGGAGCAAACAGG